rnacentral:rRNA from 1 species
UACAGAGGUCUCAAGCGUUGUUCGGAUUCAUUGGGCGUAAAGGGUGCGUAGGCGGCGCGGUAAGUCGGGUGUGAAAUCUCGGAGCUUAACUCCGAAACUGCAUUCGAUACUGCCGUGCUUGAGGACUGGAGAGGAGACUGGAAUUUACGGUGUAGCAGUGAAAUGCGUAGAUAUCGUAAGGAAGACCAGUGGCGAAGGCGGGUCUCUGGACAGUUCCUGACAGCUGAGGACACGAAGGCCAGGGGAGCAAACGGG